AAAAAUAUAUAAAUUAUCAAAGAUAAUUUUUCUGUUUAAUUUUCAAUAUCAUUUUAUAAACUAAUUAUAAAAUAUAAUUAAAAAUGGGGGGAAUUUUGACAGUUAGGCAACAAAUUUAUUCAUAUCCAUUGAAUAGAGAGAAAAAAAAUAUAUCAUUUUUACAGGUGAUACAUUUUGAGAUCUUGUGAUUCUUUUGAAACUACGAGCAUACAGUGGAAGAUCACAAGGGGAAUAAUAAUCCCCAAUUAUGAAACCAGGUGUUCCAAGAAAAAAAAAUAUUAAGGUACCAAUUUUUGUAACAAAAUGGUUUUAUACACAUCAUCUUUGGGAUUGUAAAAAAACAGUAUUUAUAUUUUAUAAUUUAGGAAUUUUUGAAUAUUUAACAAUUGCUCUUUCCCCUUUUUAUUACUUGAUCUUCCACUCUCUGUUCAAAGAUAAAUUAUAUAAUAAUAAUAAUAUAAUGAGAAAUGUGGGAUUAUUUGAAAAUAUUUUUUAAUUAAAGUAAAACUGAAAGGCUUUAUCUGAUGAUUUUUUUGUUUAUAAUUUUUUCUUUGUAAUAAAAAGUUCUUACAUAUAAUAAUCAAAUUUUUUAUAUUUUUGAUUUCUUACAAAACAUGGUUUUUUUUUCCCCUAAUUCAGUCCAGUAGACACGGCUGGAAGCGGAGUUCCAACUUCAGAGAGAAGAUAGAGUAAUUAUUCAGAUGUUUUUUUGAUGUUUUGCAGCGUGUAUUUUUGUCUCCAGCUGCAGAUGCUUGUCCUUCUUCCCCUUUAAAAUAUGCUAUAGGCUGCAUGUAAACUUUGUGAAAGAGAACAAUGAUAAUUCAAAAAUUUCACCCAUAAAAUUUUCUUGAUGUAUUUUACUGACCAGCAUGAUAUUUUUUCAAAAAUUGCUUUUGCUGUUCGCAUGAAGAAAUAUUGUAAUAAGCUGCUAGUAUGGAAAUAUUUGGGGCAUGACAUAAUUGUCUGUAUUUUUGAACAAUGUGAAAUAAUCAAUGAAUAUAAAAUUGUAUUUGCACGACACCAUUCCAUACAUAAGCAUGAGCUUGUUUUUCAUUAUGAAUCCAAGUGCUUGAAAUUUUGUUUUUGAUAUUUUUGCAAAGAUUUUUUUUAUUAACAUUAUUUGGAAAAUUUUUUCAGAAUUUUACAAUGUUUUUAUUCACAAAUCAGAGGGUAUUAUUUUUUUUACUUUUUUUAACUGCAGCCUUUGGAGGGGCUUCUCCACAUUAGGAUGGGGAGAGAAGGUCUGUCAUUUGGUUUACAACUUUUUUAUAAUAUAAAAAUAUGCAUAAAUAUAUCUCUCUCAAUAUAUGUAUAUGUAUUGUAUAUAUAUAUACACUUAUAUAUAUACAAACAUUAAAUCUUUGUGUGUAUGUAUGUAAUGUAUAAGUUGUGUUCAAAACUUAAAUUUUUAUGAUUUUAUAUUAAUAGUCUCAUAAAUAUAAUGCAUUCAAUAUUCAAAAGUUCAUAAUUUAUUUAAU
rnacentral:lncRNA from 1 species